CAGCCGCCGCGGGAAUACGUAGGUGGCAAGCGUUGUCCGGAAUUAUUGGGCGUAAAGGGAGCGUAGGCGGUCGGGUAAGUUGGAUGUGAAAUCCUGGGGCUCAACCUCAGAACUGCAUUCAAUACUGCUUGGCUAGAGUAUUGGAGAGGUGAGUGGAAUUCACGGUGUAGCAGUGAAAUGCGUAGAUAUCGUGAGGAAGACCAGCGGCGAAGGCGGCUCACUGGACAAUUACUGACGCUGAUGCUCGAAGGCCAGGGGAGCAAACGGGAUUAGAUACCCCGGUAGUCCCUGUCUCUUAUAC
rnacentral:rRNA from 1 species